AUGUGUCUUGGCAAAGGUGUCUUGGCUAAUGUGUCUUGGCUAAGGUGUCUCGGCUAAUGUGUCUCAGCUAAUGUGUCUUGGCUAAGGUGUCUUGGCUAAUGUGUCUUGGCUAAUGUGUCUUGGCUAAUGUGUCUUGGCUUAUGUGUCUUGGCUAAUGUGUCUUGGCUAAUGUGUCUUGGAUAAUGUGUCUUGGCUAAGGUGUCUUGGCUAAUGUGUCUUGGCUAAUGUGUCUUGGCUAAGGUGUCUUGGCUAAGGUAUCUUGGCUAAGGUGUCUUGGCUAUGGUGUCUUGGCUAAUGUGUCUUGGCUGAGGUGUAUAUAGAUGUUUUUGGUCAAAGUAGUUGUUUUUGGUCAAAGUUGGUGGAAACUCGAGGUUUGCGACCAAAGUUGAUGUUUUCGGUCAAAGUAGAUGUUUUUGGUCAAAGUUGGUGGAAACUUGAAGUUUGCGACCAAAGUUGAUGUUUUCGGUCAAAGUAGAUGUUUUUGGUCAAAGUUGGUGGAAACUCGAGGUUUGCAACCAAAGAUGACGAUUUCGGUCAAAGUAGAUGUUUUUGGUCAAAGUUGGUGGAAACUCGAGGUUUGCGACCAAAGUUGAUGUUUUCGGUCAAAGUAGAUGUUUUUGGUCAAAGUUGGUGGAAACUCGAGGUUUGCGACCAAAGUUGAUGUUUUCGGUCAAAGUAGAUGUUUUUGGUCAAAGUUGGUAGAAACUCGAGGUUUGCGACUAAAGUUGAUGUAUUCGGUCAAAGUAGAUGUUUUUGGUCAAAGUUGGUGGAAACUGGAAGUUUGCAACCAAAGAUGAUGAUUUCGGUCAAAGUUGAUGAUUUCGGUCAAAGUAGAUGUUUUUGGUCAAAGUUGGUGGAAACUGGAAGUUUGCAACCAAAGAUGAUGAUUUCGGUCAAAGUAGAUGUUUUUGGUCAAAGUUGGUGGAAACUCGAGGUUUGCGACCAAAGUUGAUGUUUUCGGUCAAAGUAGAUGUUUUUGGUCAAAGUUGGUGGAAACUCGAGGUUUGCGACCAAAGUUGAUGUUUUCGGUCAAAGUAGAAGUUUUUGGUCAAAGUUGGUGGAAACUUGAAGUUUGCGACCAAAGAUGAUGAUUUCGGUCAAAGUAGAUGUUUUUGGUCAAAGUUGGUGGAAACUGGAAGUUUGCAACCAAAGAUGAUGAUUUCGGUCAAAGUAGAUGUUUUCGGUCAAAGUUGGUGGAAACUGGAAGUUUGCAACCAAAGAUGAUGAUUUCGGUCAAAGUUGAUGUUUUUGGUCAAAGUUGGUGGAAACUGGAAGUUUGCGACUAAAGUUGAUGUUUUCGGUCAAAGUUGAUGUUUUUGGUCAAAGUUGGUGGAAACUGGAAGUUUGCAACCAAAGUUGAUGUUUUCGGUCAAAGUAGAUGUUUUUGGUCAAAGUUGGUGGAAACUCGAGGUUUGCGACCAAAGUUGAUGUUUUCGGUCAAAGUAGAUGUUUUUGGUCAAAGUUGGUGGAAACUUGAAGUUUGCGACCAAAGUUGAUGUUUUCGGUCAAAGUAGAUGUUUUUGGUCAAAGUUGGUGGAAACUCGAGGUUUGCGACCAAAGUUGAUGAUUUCGGUCAAAGUAGAUGUUUUUGGUCAAAGUUGGUGGAAACUUGAAGUUUGCGACCAAAGUUGAUGUUUUCGGUCAAAGUAGAUGUUUUUGGUCAAAGUUGGUGGAAACUCGAGGUUUGCGACCAAAGUUGAUGUUUUCGGUCAAAGUAGAUGUUUUUGGUCAAAGUUGGUGGAAACUUGAAGUUUGCGACCAAAGAUGAUGUUUUCGGUCAAAGUAGAUGUUUUUGGUCAAAGUUGGUGGAAACUUGAAGUUUGCGACCAAAGUUGAUGUUUUUGGUCAAAGUAGAUGUUUUUGGUCAAAGUUGAUGUUUUUGGUCAAAGUUGGUGGAAACUGGAAGUUUGCAACCAAAGAUGAUGAUUUCGGUCAAAGUAGAUGUUUUUGGUCAAAAUUGAUGUUUUUGGUCAAAGUAGAUGUUUUUGGUCAAAGUUGGUGGAAACUGGAAGUUUGCUACCAAAGAUGAUGUUUUCGGUCAAAGUAGAUGUUUUUGGUCAAAGUUGGUGGAAACUGGAAGUUUGCAACCAAAGUUGAUGUUUUCGGUCAAAGUUGAUGU